rnacentral:tRNA from 1 species
CAGGGAGACAAACAAUGAUUUUGAUGUCUGAGUUUUUUUAUUCUUAGGCCAAAAUCCUGUCACCUUAGGUCGAUCGGUACCUCAACUUUGAAGCUAAGAGAAUCCAGCAAUGGAUUUCUGCUUAGUGGAGAUUUUUAGUUCCUAAACUUUGUCUAGUUCACAACCCAUUAGGGAUGAGACUCCUGGGCCAUUAGCUCAGGUGGUUAGAGCGCACCCCUGAUAAGGGUGAGGUCCCUGGUUCAAGUCCAGGAUGGCCCAUUCGGUGUAGGGGGUUUAGCACAGUUGGUAGAGCGCCUGCUUUGCAUUCAGGUGGUCCGGCGUUUUAGUCUCCUGAGUUCAUUGGACGACAGAAGAAUCGUUUCCCCAAUACGGGGGUGUGGAGUCCUAGGGGGUGGGGGGUUGAUGUUGGGGGCUGAUAGAUCCGCGCUCUGUCCGUUUAGGACCUGGAAGUGGGCGAGGGAGUGUGUGGGGGAGGU